rnacentral:tRNA from 1 species
UCCCUGGUGGCCCAGAUGGUAAAGCGUCUGUCUGCAAUGCGGGAGACCCAGGUUCGAUCCCUGGCUCUGGAA